rnacentral:rRNA from 1 species
UACAGAGGUCCCAAGCGUUGUUCGGAUUUACUGGGCGUAAAGGGUGCGUAGGUGGCGGGGUAAGUCUGGUGUGAAAGCUCCGAGCUCAACUCGGAAAAGCAUUGGAAACUAUCCCGCUGGAGGGUCGGAGGGGAGACUGGAAUUCUCGGUGUAGCAGUGAAAUGCGUAGAUAUCGAGAGGAACACCAGUGGCGAAGGCGAGUC